CCCGCUGAACUUAAGCAUAUCAAUAAGCGGAGGAAAAGAAACCAACAGGGAUUGCCUCAGUAACGGCGAGUGAAGCGGCAACAGCUCAAAUUUGAAAUCUGGCUCUUUCAGGGCCCGAGUUGUAAUUUGUAGAGGAUGCUUCGGCGUCGGCUCCGGUCUAAGUUCCUUGGAACAGGACGUCAUAGAGGGUGAGAAUCCCGUAUGUGAUCGGUUGCCUCUGCCAUGUGAAGCUCCUUCGACGAGUCGAGUUGUUUGGGAAUGCAGCUCUAAAUGGGAGGUAAAUUUCUUCUAAAGCUAAAUACUGGUCAGAGACCGAUAGCGCACAAGUAGAGUGAUCGAAAGAUGAAAAGCACUUUGGAAAGAGAGUCAAAAAGUACGUGAAAUUGUUGAAAGGGAAGCGCUUGCAACCAGACCUGCCUGCAGUUGCUCAUCCGUGGCUUUUGCCCGGUGGACUCUUCUGCUGUCAGGCCAGCAUCAGUUCGGGCGGUCGGAUAAAGGCUCCGGGAAUGUAGCUCCUCUCGGGGAGUGUUAUAGCCCGUUGCGAAAUGCGGCCAGCCUGGACUGAGGUCCGCGCUUCGGCUAGGAUGCUGGCGUAAUGGUUGCAAGCGGCCCGUCUUGAAACACGG
rnacentral:rRNA from 1 species